rfam:Xenopus tropicalis strain Nigerian Chr04_contig_1409, whole genome shotgun sequence.
ACAAAGGUCUCUUUUGAGACCAACAACUUUUUCACUAUGAGUGCAG